AGGAUACCAGGAGUAUGCCGUUGCUACUUCUCUCUCUUCUUGAGUGUAAACAAGAUAGUUCUGCCACCCUGAUCAGUAAUUCAGUUUUCCUUGUAAGGUAAUUCUUAUAUCGAUAAUGUAGAGUGUUAUGAAUACAAUGGAUAAGCUGAGAGUAAAGAGUUUUCCCCUCUUCAUUCUGCGUCAAUAAACACUAUGGACUAUUCAGGCAGCUUGUACUGUUGCAAAGGAUGAUUUUAGAUCGAAAGCAAAGCAAACUGUGGUCAGCUUCUUCCAGGCAACCAAAUACUUCUGAGUAGCAUCUGUCAAGCUGCAAAGGUUGCAUCAAGCCUACUCCAAAUGAUAAACCAUAAUCCCAUAACUAAAAUAAUGCCAUCCUCUGUAAGCAGGAAGUGGCUGCCAGUAAGAAAAGAGGCAGAGCACACCCACUUCAUGGUCACCUCCCUUCUCAGCA